GGAUGUGAGGGCGAUCUGGCUGUGACAUCUGUCACCCCAUUGAUUGCCAGGGUUGAUUUGGCUGUUCUGGCUGUCUAGGCAGGUGUCCCCUUCCUCCCUCACCGCUCCAUAUGGUCCCUCCCAAAGCUUUGAGCUCGGUUGAAGAGGACUGCCUUCCCCAAUAGAGAUGGAUCGGCCUUUGUCAAGGGUAUAGGAGUAGCUGCGCUCCCCUGCUAGAACCUCCAGAUAAGCUCUCAAGAAUUAUUAUUAUUAUCAGUUUGCAAAUCCUGAAGAGACCUUG
rfam:Erinaceus europaeus unplaced genomic scaffold scaffold00144, whole genome shotgun sequence